CACCGGCACGUGAAGGCAGCUCCCAACAAACAUUCCCAUCGGACGUACGCCAUUGAGGCCGUACAGUCACAGAGCACGACCAGGUUCACUGAACCUCCGACUCCGUCCCCUCUUUAUUUACACCCCCUCCACAAAAAUAUUUCAUAAAACACAGAAAAAAAAAAUCACUCCUCAUUUCUUCUUCUUCUUCCUUCUUGCCGCAAUGGGGUAAAGCAACUCAGCAUGAGGCAUUGCUUUCUUAUCCGGAGAAAGAUAGUCAAGAAUGAUUUGCCAAUAUUCACAUCUCAUGAGACCAACAACUUUCUUUAGGCUUUUUUUAAGAUGAACAGAAAUCGCACUUUUGGACUUGGAAUUUGCAGCAUCUCUUGUAGCCAUUUGACUGCUUUCCCAUUUAUGUUGCUCUUGAGUUCAGCUAUUGUGGCCUUGUCAUGCCGUCGAUGACCCGGGAGAGCAAGUCCAACGGCAGCUAUUCGCUCGGUCCGGUCGCUCUUCUGCAGGAAUGUGAUUGAAUAGCAGAGCAGAGAGAACAUUUUGUUGUUCUUGGAAGAGUUCCCCCUAUUGAAACUUCAAAUGCUUAACAUUUUUUCUGUCCUUUGGCUGACGAUGUUUUUAUUUUCGUCAUAUGGUUUUUCAAUAAAGCGUCUGUUGUAGUCUCCUUGAUAUGAACCGCUCAAACAUCAAAUUGUUAUUUAUAUUUUAUUUAAUAAUUUUGAUGUAAUUUUAGCAUUUUUCAAUUUUAACCUUUUUAUGACAUUUAAUUAGGGAUAAUAUGAUCUUUUUA